rnacentral:rRNA from 1 species
UUGGUGGAGCGCUUGGAAGUGAGAAUGCCGGUAUGAGUAGCGAAAGAAGGGUGAGAAUCCCUUCCACCGAAUGCCUAAGGUUUCCUGAGGAAGGCUCGUCCGCUCAGGGUUAGUCGGGACCUAAGCCGAGGCCGAAAGGCGUAGGCGAUGGAUAACAGGUUGAUAUUCCUGUACCGCCUCGUUUCCGUUUGAGUGAAGGGGGGACGCAGGAGGAUAGGGUAAGCGCACGACUGGAUGUGCGUCCAAGCAGUAAGGCUGGCAAGUAGGCAAAUCCGCUUGCCAUAAGGCUGAGCUGUGAUGGCGAGGGAAAUAAAGUACCGAAGUUCCUGAUUCCACACUGCCAAGAAAAGCCUCUAGCGAGGAAACAGGCGCCCGUACCGCAAACCGACACAGGUAGGCGAGGAGAGAAUCCUAAGGUGAUCGAGAGAACUCUCGUUAAGGAACUCGGCAAAAUGACCCCGUAACUUCGGGAGAAGGGGUGCUCUUUGGGGUGAAAGCUCCGAGGAGCCGCAGUGAAUAGGCCCAGGCGACUGUUUAGCAAAAACACAGGUCUCUGCGAAGCCGCAAGGCGAAGUAUAGGGGCUGACGCCUGCCCGGUGCUGGAAGGUUAAGAGGAGCGCUUAGCGCAAGCGAAGGUGCGAAUUGAAGCCCCAGUAAACGGCGGCCGUAACUAUAACGGUCCUAAGGUAGCGAAAUUCCUUGUCGGGUAAGUUCCGACCCGCACGAAAGGCGCAACGAUCUGGGCACUGUCUCAACGAGAGACUCGGUGAAAUUAUAGUAUGCGUGAAGAUGCGCAUUACCCGCGACAGGACGGAAAGACCCCGUGGAGCUUUACUGCACCCUGAUAUUGACUGUCUGUGCAGCUUGUACAGGAUAGGUAGGAGCCUUGGAAGCCGGAGCGCUAGCUUCGGUGGAGGCAACGGUGGGAUACUACCCUGGCUGUAUGGACCGUCUAACCCGCGACCCUGAUCGGGUUGGGAGACAGUGUCAGGCAGGCAGUUUGACUGGGGCGGUCGCCUCCUAAAGAGUAACGGAGGCGCCCAAAGGUUCCCUCAGAAUGGUUGGAAAUCAUUCGCAGAGUGCAAAGGCAGAAGGGAGCUUGACUGCGAGACCUACAAGUCGAGCAGGGACGAAAGUCGGGCUUAGUGAUCCGGUGGUACCG